GCUUUAAAAAAAAACCUUUUCUAAUUUAAUAGGUGAAAAAAAGUUGAUCUCACUAUUUUAAUGUGCUAUGCAUUUUUAAGUGAGGUAGAAUAUAUUUUCCAAACUUACUAAUCACUUGUUCCCUUGUGAGCUGACUGAAUUUGCCCAUUUUUCUCCGAAUUUCCAUCUAGUCUUAUUGAUUUAAAAAGGCUCAUUGUAUAUUGAGAAUAUAAACCCUUUGUUGCAGGACCCUUUCUGGCUCCCAUGGUAGCUGCAGACGCAUGUCAGCCUGCUGGUCAUGGGAGGAGGCUGUGACGAGCUCGGUCCUUGAAGCAGGAGCGAGAGUGAUGCCCCACCAUCAGAUUUGAUUUCUGCUGCAAAGUGUUGGCCGUGCUGUGUCCGCAAAGGGAAAAGCACACGCCCUCCUGGCCUCACCGCGGGUUUGGCACUAACAAGCAGUGUCAGGAAGGCAUUCCAGUCCAGAAAGUUCAGACAGUGGCUGUUGGGGUCUGACCACAGGAAAGGUAUUGUUCAAAGGGGAUUCUGGACAAGGGGUGGUUGUGGGUCCCCGGGGGCCUCUGAGUCUGGGGUGGGCUCAGGAGGACGCAGGACACAGCAGACCCAGAUGCAGAGAGCGGUGACACGGGCCCGUGGGGCUUGUGCUUGCGUGCGUGCGUGCGUGUGUGUGUCACCAUGACUCUCCAAAUGAUUUAUCUUGAUCAACAAUCGUGGUGUUAGCCUGUGAGAAGAUAGCACAAAGGUUCUUUAAAGAAGUCCACUUUUAAGGCAUCGGAGAAGUUAAUGUGGCAAACGUUUUAAUUAAAACAUCAGAAGUAAAUUUUAUUUUAAACUUUAGGCCUCUGAAUUUUUCCAGUAAACACGGUUCAGCUAUGUGGCAAAGUCAUGGGUGGCAGCUAAAAUGACUUUUUACAUUCUACAAAAAAAAACAACGAUGAACAAAGGACGCGGCCCCAAACGGUGUUGCCUCUUCGCGGCCGUUCCACAUGCACGGAGUCUACUGGGGCUUGUCACAGCCGGGUGGCGCCGCUUUUGUUCUGACUAUACAACGAACUUUUUUUUUUUCCUUCAAAAGUAUUUGUUCAGAUAACUUAAAAAAUAAUAUAAAAAUAAACAAUGAAUUUGACUUUUCCUCAAAAUUAAAAAAAAAAAGACGGAAAGUCUAAACAAUAGCAAAUUCUGGAAGUACAAAUGAAAUGCAAGGACGCUGGUUCACUGAACAGAACGGAUCAGACAGACAGUUCUUGGCUGAAUGCUCUUCCAGCAUCACACACCAGCCCAUGAUCGAAAACCAACACAGACAAGGAAACGGAACCGAAAACGGAAGGAAAAGCAAUGUACAAAAUCUCGAAGAUAAAUACAAUAUUUAUAAUUGAUAUGUUACAAAAUAAAGUCCCUUAGCAACAGCAAGUGUUCAUGGAAAAGUAAGUGUUGAAUGGAGACCAUUUUAUUCCUUAUAAGACGCAUAAGGAAUAAAACUUUUUUUUCUCUCUAAAUAUUUAAGUGGAUCUGAAAAAAAUUCAAGACAAGUGUAUAAAUAUUUAGCUACAACUUUG